AGCCAGACUCCUACGGGAGGCAGCAGUCGAGAAUCAUUCACAAUGGGGGAAACCCUGAUGGUGCGACGCCGCGUGGGGGAAUGAAGGUCUUCGGAUUGUAAACCCCUGUCAUGUGGGAGCAAAUUAAAAAGAUAGUACCACAAGAGGAAGAGACGGCUAACUCUGUGCCAGCAGCCGCGGUAAUACGGAGGAUGCGAGCGUUAUCCGGAUUUAUUGGGUUUAAAGGGUGCGUAGGCGGAAUGCCAAGUCAGCGGUAAAAUCGCGGGGCUCAACCUCGCUCCGCCGUUGAAACUGGCGUUCUUGAGUGGGCGAGAAGUAUGCGGAAUGCGUGGUGUAGCGGUGAAAUGCACAGAUAUCACGCAGAACUCCGAUUGCGAAGGCAGCAUACCGGCGCCCAACUGACGCUGAGGCACGAAAGCGUGGGUAUCGAACAGGAUUAGAUACCCUAGUAAU
rnacentral:rRNA from 1 species